UCUUUUAAGAACCUGAUUGCUUUUUCCUUGCUCUUAAGAUCCAAGGGUUUGGGUCUGUGUUCACCUAUGCAAAUUGGUGAGGAUUUUUAUUAAGCCUUCCCCAGGAAAGGGGGUGUAGGGCUUGGGGGGAUAGUUUGGGGGAAGACGUCGCCAAGUGGGCUCUACCCCUGUUCUUUUUUUAAC